CGCGGUAAUUCCAGCUCCAAUAGCGUAUACUAAAGUGUUGCAGUUAAAAAGCUCGUAGUUGGAUUUCUGGCGGGGACGGCUGGUCGGUCUCGAAAGGGGCUGUACUGUUGUUGGUUCCCGUCAUCCUUGGGGAGAGCGGCUCUUACAUUAAGUUGUCGGCGUCGGGAUCCCUAUCUUUUACUGUGAAAAAAUUAGAGUGUUCAAAGCAGGCUUAGGCCCUGAAUACAUUAGCAUGGAAUAAUAAGAUACGACCUUGGUGGUCUAUUUUGUUGGUUUGCACGCCAAGGUAAUGAUUAAUAGGGAUAGUUGGGGGUAUUCGUAUUCAAUUGUCAGAGGUGAAAUUCUUGGAUUUAUGGAAGACGAACUACUGCGAAAGCAUUUACCAAGGAUGUUUUCAUUAAUCAAGAACGAAAGUUAGGGGAUCGAAGAUGAUUAGAUACCAUCGUAGUCUUAACCAUAAACUAUGCCGACUAGGGAUCGGUGGGUGCAUUUUUAAGCCUCAUCGGCACCUUAUGAGAAAUCAAAGUCUUUGGGUUCCGGGGGGAGUAUGGUCGCAAGGCUGAAACUUAAAGAAAUUGACGG
rnacentral:rRNA from 1 species